GGGUGCGUAACGCGUAUGCAAUCUACCUUUCACAGAGGGAUAGCCCAGAGAAAUUUGGAUUAAUACCUCAUAGUAUUAUAGAGUGGCAUCACUUUAUAAUUAAAGUCACAACGGUGAAAGAUGAGCAUGCGUCCCAUUAGUCUAGAUGGUAAGGUAACGGCUUACCAUGGCAACGAUGGGUAGGGGUCCUGAGAGGGAGAUCCCCCACACUGGUACUGAGACACGGACCAGACUCCUACGGGAGGCAGCAGUGAGGAAUAUUGGUCAAGGGGCGCAAGCCUGAACCAGCCAUGCCGCGUGCAGGAUGACGGUCCUAUGGAUUGUAAACUGCUUUUGUACGAGAAGAAACAACAUUACGUGUAAUGUCUUGACGGUAUCGUAAGAAUAAGGAUCGGCUAACUCCGUGCCAGCAGCCGCGGUAAUACGGAGGAUCCAAGCGUUAUCCGGAAUCAUUGGGUUUAAAGGGUCCGUAGGCGGUUUAGUAAGUCAGUGGUGAAAGCCCAUCGCUCAACGGUGGAACGGCCAUUGAUACUGCUAGACUUGAAUUA
rnacentral:rRNA from 1 species